GUGCAAACUUCAGCAAACUACGCAGAAAGAAGCUCGCUCUGUCAGCUGUCCUGAGGGAGCAGGGUUGGGUCAUUUUUGACACUCGUCUGCAGGCAGUGAAUGCGCAGUUUAUAGGAUUCUGGGCAGAUGUCAGAUAACAUCACUCACUGAGGAAAUCUUUGCUGAAGGAGGCUUGAAUUCACAAGCUGGGAGGAAAAACACAUGAAACGCUUGAUACUGUAACAUGUUGUGCAUGAAGCUAAACCAACCCAGCUUUACACAUUAACUAAGUGUGCGUAGGUGGCUUUUUGCUUUUACAAUCCAAUCCCUGUAAUCUUUAUCUCACAGGGUUUCUCUCUUAAUUCUCUCAUCUGAAAACAAAUGCUUUGGAUUUUAAAUCAUCAUUUCAAACAAAAACCUCUCUUUCUUGUGAGCACCACACAAGGACAAAAGAGGCAGUCUGGAGAGAGAUCUUUUGACCUUUUGAGAGAGAGAUGAGCCGUCAGUAACGCUGAGCAUGAUCAGAUGUUGUCCUAAGAGACACACGAUGAAUGAUUACUUGGCAGACCUCCAGAAAGAAGACAGUUAACUGUGAUCUGUUAAUGUUAUCCAUCAUGAGACAAUGUGAAGCAUGACUGAAGUGCAGUAGGAGCAUCGGUGAGUUUUAUCAAAGCUACCUAUAAACCUUAUCUGCAUUGUUGAAUGUGAUCAUUCACUGACCUCGAUGAUGUGUUAUCACCCGCAAGAUCAAUUUUAUUGUAUUAUUACUCUGUUUUGAUAGCAGUUAUGUGUUACAGCAGAUUUGACUACUCUGUGUUUAUGGGAUUAUGAUUGUGUCACUCCAGGAUGGACGACAAGGCAUUUCUGUGAACUUGUUUUGUAGAUUAAAUAUGUGGUUUGAAUAAAAUGACGUGACUGGAAUAAAAAUUGA